GAUGAACGCUAGCGACAGGCUUAACACAUGCAAGUCGAGGGGCAGCACAGGUAGCAAUACCGGGUGGCGACCGGCGCACGGGUGAGUAACGCGUAUGCAACUUGCCUAUCAGAGGGGGAUAACCCGGCGAAAGUCGGACUAAUACCGCAUGAAGCAGGGGCCCCGCAUGGGGAUAUUUGCUAAAGAUUCAUCGCUGAUAGAUAGGCAUGCGUUCCAUUAGGCAGUUGGCGGGGUAACGGCCCACCAAACCGACGAUGGAUAGGGGUUCUGAGAGGAAGGUCCCCCACAUUGGUACUGAGACACGGACCAAACUCCUACGGGAGGCAGCAGUGAGGAAUAUUGGUCAAUGGGCGUAAGCCUGAACCAGCCAAGUCGCGUGAGGGAUGAAGGUUCUAUGGAUCGUAAACCUCUUUUAUAAGGGAAUAAAGUGCGGGACGUGUCCCGUUUUGUAUGUACCUUAUGAAUAAGGAUCGGCUAACUCCGUGCCAGCAGCCGCGGUAAUACGGAGGAUCCGAGCGUUAUCCGGAUUUAUUGGGUUUAAAGGGUGCGUAGGCGGCCUUUUAAGUCAGCGGUGAAAGUCUGUGGCUCAACCAUAGAAUUGCCGUUGAAACUGGGGGGCUUGAGUAUGUUUGAGGCAGGCGGAAUGCGUGGUGUAGCGGUGAAAUGCAUAGAUAUCACGCAGAACCCCGAUUGCGAAGGCAGCCUGCCAAGCCAUUACUGACGCUGAUGCACGAAAGCGUGGGGAUCAAACAGGAUUAGAUACCCUGGUAGUCCACGCAGUAAACGAUGAUCACUAGCUGUUUGCGAUACACUGUAAGCGGCACAGCGAAAGCGUUAAGUGAUCCACCUGGGGAGUACGCCGGCAACGGUGAAACUCAAAGGAAUUGACGGGGGCCCGCACAAGCGGAGGAACAUGUGGUUUAAUUCGAUGAUACGCGAGGAACCUUACCCGGGUUUGAACGCAUUCGGACCGAGGUGGAAACACCUUUUCUAGCAAUAGCCGUUUGCGAGGUGCUGCAUGGUUGUCGUCAGCUCGUGCCGUGAGGUGUCGGCUUAAGUGCCAUAACGAGCGCAACCCUUGCCACUAGUUACUAACAGGUAAAGCUGAGGACUCUGGUGGGACUGCCAGCGUAAGCUGCGAGGAAGGCGGGGAUGACGUCAAAUCAGCACGGCCCUUACAUCCGGGGCGACACACGUGUUACAAUGGCGUGGACAAAGGGAAGCCACCUGGCGACAGGGAGCGAAUCCCCAAACCACGUCUCAGUUCGGAUCGGAGUCUGCAACCCGACUCCGUGAAGCUGGAUUCGCUAGUAAUCGCGCAUCAGCCAUGGCGCGGUGAAUACGUUCCCGGGCCUUGUACACACCGCCCGUCAAGCCAUGGGAGCCGGGGGUACCUGAAGUCCGUAACCGCGAGGAUCGGCCUAGGGUAAAACUGGUGACUGGGGC
rnacentral:rRNA from 1 species